GGGGAUGUUUAUGGAUUCGUCAAGGUAACAAUGGUCUAAUAAGCAUGUCUUGGUUACGCAAGUAAAAACGUCGAGGUUUUCUAAUAAACGGAAACAAAUCAAUUUAUAAUUUUGGUGGACAACCAAGAUUACAACUAGCAGCUUAAGAUAAAGUCUGCGACCAAUCUAGAAAUGCUUACGGUCUAGUGAGGUAAGAGAGUAAGAUAUAUUUGUAGUUCUGCCGCCUUAAGGCUAUAAACGAAUUUUCAAGGCUCGCUUUAUCGUAAUGUUCCUUUUCAAUACUUUAAAGUUAAAGCCCCUAAAAGGAUAAACAUGUAGAAAUUUAGAUGCAUUCUUGUUUUGCACAGGGGUUCGACUCCCCUCAUCUCCACCA
rnacentral:tmRNA from 1 species